rnacentral:rRNA from 1 species
GACGAACGCUGGCGGCGUGCUUAACACAUGCAAGUCGAACGGAAAGGCCUGCUUUCCCUUGUGGAUUGCGGGUACUCGAGUGGCGAACGGGUGAGUAACACGUGAGUGAUCUGCCCCCAACUUGGGUAUAAGCCUGGGAAACUGGGUCUAAUUCCCGAUAGGACUGCAGGGUGGUGCCUGUGGUGGAAAACGAUUUUCUAGUGGUUGGGGAUGAGCUCGCGGCCUAUCAGCUUGUUGGUGGGGUAAUGGCCUACCAAGGCGGCGACGGGUAGCCGGCCUGAGGGGGCGGACGGCGACAUUGGGACUGAGAGACGGCACAGACUCCUACGGGAGGCAGCAGUGGGGAAUAUUGCACAAUGGGCGGAAGCCUGAUGCAGCGACGCCGCGUGGGGGAUGACGGCCUUCGGGUUGUAAACUCCUUUCGACCGCGAGGAAGCCACCUGGUUGGAAGGGUGGUGACGGUAGUGGUAGAAGAAGCACCGGCUAACUACGUG